rnacentral:tRNA from 1 species
AAAGGGAGACCUAAUUCAGGUAGGAGACGAAAAAAAAGUAGUCGCUACCAAGAAUCAAUCCCAAAAGGUCGGAGCGAGGCAAAAUUGGCUUUCAAACUAGGUUCUGGGUUCACACAAGACCUGAAUCAGGAACAAGGGCUAUUAGCUCAGGUGGUUAGAGCGCACCCCUGAUAAGGGUGAGGUCCCUGGUUCGAGUCCAGGAUGGCCCACCUGUACAGGUGGCAAAAACAAGAGAAGCUCCGAAUCAGCACCUUAUCUUACUGACAUAGUAAGAGAGAAUGCUGGCUCUGAGUAAAGAGUCCAGAGGAACCUUGAAAACUGCAUAGAGCUAGGUGAAAAAGCCAAAAAAGAAGACCGCAAG